CAUCACAUUCCAGACUUUGGUUCUUGUUAUGCCUUUCUUCACCCAAUUGAAGAUCCCUUCAGAAAACAAUGCAAAAAAGAAAAGUAAAAAUGCCUUCCCAAGCCUACCCACUACCUCCUGUUUAUGCCUCCAGGGAUUGCUUUAGCCAUCCUUGCCACACUGCACUGGGUGUUCUCCUGCGGUUGUUUACUUGUUGUGACCUCUAAAUCCUUUUCAGAAUCACUCUUUUCCAGGAUGUAGCACACUCCCCAUACCCAAUCCUGUAGAUACAAUGUGCUCCUUUUUCUUUAGCAUGUGCCAUGCCAAAAAGCAUUUCAUUUGAAGGAACUGCACUUUGUGCAAAUGACUAGUGGUUCACACCCACAGGUGCCCUGUUCUCCUGAUCUUUUAUCAGUCUACCUGUUUUUGCCUCACCUGGAAAUUUUUAUCAGCUGUGCUUUUAUAGCUUAGGAGUCAUUGCUCUGAAAUGCUGAAUAAUGUUGGGGGUUAUUACAGUUUAACCUGAAUCUUACUCUGGGUUCCUCUCAUUGAAGAUUCUCCAAGUAACAUUUCUUCUGAGGGCUUCCAUUAGUUAUUAAGCCGUUCAACAUGUGCUUUCAUUGACAGAGAUGGAAUGCUAUGCAGUUGGUACUAAGUUAAAAGUCUGUUAAAAUUUCAUUCUGGGAUGAAACUUGGCAUGUGAGAUGAGGGCUCAGCAAGUUAUGCUGAAAGUUAGGCUGUCCUCAUGCAGCUUCUUGAUGUUCAGAUACAGCAGUGUGGAUAUGGCUCCAUUCGAGAGGCAAGAAGGAGCGAGGGCUGUGCCCAGUGUUCUGAGCCCUUGGUGGAAAAUGGUGUUGUAGGUGCUGAGUGGCCUUACUGGGAGGACUGCCACAUGCCUCUCAACACUCUUGCAUUCAGCUUAGGGUAUUUAAAUUUAUAUAACUCAUCUGUUCUCAUUCGUGCUAGUUUUACAUGGCAAGAAAUCCAUCAAGCCCUUUCUGUGUGUUAGCUUGAACAGGGUAAGUGCAUCGUUGUUUUGCUGCAAGUCAGGGUUUAAAUACCAUUUAACGUCUCCUUUUAUUAAGUUCCCCUUUAUUAGUUAAUUUUGUAUAGAUCUUGGGCAAUAUGAAGCGCUUCAAGUAUAUAAAGUAUAUUGUUAUUUAAUACUUCUAGUCAAAUUUCCCAAGAGGUGGAUUUUAAGGCUGUAACAUAGUUGUGACCACUGGGUGAUUAUACUGAUGUGACCUUUGCUCCAACCCAAUGUAGUUUGGUACAAAGCAUACUGCAAUCAUGUGAAGAGCACUGUUUGGCAGUUUUGCGUGCUCCACUUCAUCAAGGUAUGUGGAUCAGCAAUUUAUUUCUUUAAUUUAUUUUUGACACUCUGUUGAUUUGCAAAUUAUUCAGAAGCUUUUCUGCAGUUACCAUCUUGAAAAUAAUGCCAUCAGGUUAUUUUUGUUUUUGUAACUGGUCAAGGUGAUCAGAGAGUGCCUUUACUACUGGAAAUUGUUGAAAAUCCUUUAAACAAAGCAAGAAAAUAGUGCUAAUGAGUUUGUGUAUGUUUAUAAGUACAUAGGUCCAGACAUGACAUAUAAAGUUGUUUUGGGAAAAUGAACCUUUCUGUACAUCAGAUUCAAAAGCAUGGGCAAAAGAUUUGCAAGAAAAAAGGUCUGUUUGGGGUACAACAAGAGGCAAAGGACAAAAGCCACCAUUAGUGGGUUAAAAUUGAGAUCCUGAGCUGUAUGAAGAAGUGGUGAAUGCCUUUUGCUGUAAUGAAUAAAUACAAAUGUUUGUUUGAAAGAAAAUUUGUCCAUGCUUUGCACAUUCAAUUUUGUAUGUAUUUUUCAGUACUUGUUCACUUGGGCAUUUCAUGCUUUACCUCAGUUCAAGUGAUUAAAGAAUGGCUCUAGAGGUGAAAUUUGUCCAGUGAAACAAAUUAUUGUCUUAUGCUGUCACAAGUUGGAAAUAACUCUGGAUUUUCAUACAGAUUUACAGAAUUUUCAUUCAGAUUUCAGUGUUCUGGAUUUGCACUACAUAUGUCUAGGAUCAAAAUAUGGCCAGCAACAUAAAAUCAGGGAGUUCAACUUUGUGUUGCAAGGUAGCAGUUCAUUGGCUUACACAUUCUUUUGCUGAGGUCAUUGGAUCAGCCUAUCCCUUCCUGAAAAAAAAACCACCAAAACAUCACUAUCUUAAAAUCCGCCAUUCUUGAUACACGAUUCUCAUACCUGAUCAUGAUUAUCUCAGGGAAAAUUGUUAAAUACGGUCAAAUGGGGAUUUGCUACCAAGUAUUUAAAUGUCGUACUGCAGUAGGGAUAAAAAAUCCACGUGGCAAAUGAGCAAGGAGGCUGAGUUCCAUCAUCUGGAACUAACUUUUGCUAAACUUUAUAUGAAUUUAGGCACUGUUAGCAGAGCAUGUGAAAGGUUAAGGGGAUGCAUAACUGAUAGAGUUCUGCUCCAUCAGUCUUUGAGGUCUCAGUUUAAAAAGCAUCAUUAACUCAGUGUUACCUUUCAGUGCCAUUCUAAAAUCUUUCAUUUUAGAACGAGAGGCCUGUGUGC
rnacentral:lncRNA from 1 species